GACAUCGUUCCGGCAGUCUGACUGACGUCUUGUUUGCGUACAGUGUGCUGUCUGCUUUCGUCUUCACUAGCUUUAACUCUUCGACCUCGUAGUUUUUAUCGAUUUUUGGCUUUUAAUCUAGUCAUUUUACAAGCAACGCUAAGAAGGGAAAGAAUGGAGUAUAUUGUAAAACAAUAAAACGUUUUGUCACAAUUUCAAUUCCUUAAGGAACUAUUACAAGAUCGUAGGACGGUAGGAGCACAUGGCUCAGAAAUAUCAUCGGGAAAGCACACAGUACGAUUCGUUUUUGUAGGUUUCUUUGUGUUGAUGGAUUAGUCACCCUAGAGCAAUUACGAGUAUUUGGAUCAUAUACAAUCCAAUCCACAAAUUAAUGUUGAAGUUGUUGUGAAAUAUGCAACUAGCCCCUAGCAGAUGAGUUCGUUGGAACUACCUAGCCAAAGGUUCAGACUUUUUAUUUCAAGAUUUAAGUCCUGAGGCUGCGAUAUCCUGAAUUAGGUCGGGAAGGUGCCUUAAGUUGUAGAAUGAAAAAUAUUUCACCUUGUCCUUGCCAUUAGCUUCUGUAGUCAACUAUGCUUCUAGGUUCUAACGUGGACUCUUCACCUUACCCAUACAAAUUCCUUAGAGCUACACUUUCGAGGGGCAGUAGAUGAGUGAGGAGCUUCUCUACCAUACGGAGAUGAUUGUGUUGUCUCUACCAUUGUCUUCACAAUAGGAUAUGACAGAUGCCACGGCGAUGCCUUCAUUAGGUACUACAUUGCUAUCUGUCUUAUCGUCCCCGCCAGUUUCUUCAUCUGGGGUUUCUUCAUUCGGUCCUUCGUUGCGACUGGCAUCAGUGACUACAAUGCCUUUGUCCGGAUUCUCAGAAAGUUCUCCUGUCUGAGGUUCCGUAUUUGUCAUUAGGUCAUCCACUGUUAUACCCGGACCACAGUGUAUGAACGCAUCGCUUCCGGGAAGUAGCUACUGCAGUGACCAGUGCGGGCUGAAAUUGGCGACAGACGUAUAUACCAGUCAAAACAGGAAUUCAGAAUGACUAUUGAACGAUUUCGUCUAAAUUCGACAGGAACUGAACAUAAUAUUUAAAGUGUGGUCUAAAUACGUUAUUGCUAUGACUGGAUUUGCAUUUCCUCGGUAGAAAUGUAACGCUACCGAUACUGCAAUUCUGAUCAAAACGCUCAAAUUGAGCCUUCAGUCGUCCAUGUAUACAGUAAUGGUAGAUGGCUGAUUUUUUUUUUUUCUUCUUCCACUCACACCCAUUCCCAUCCCCGUUUUAUCGGAGUCUAGUUACAUCCUGAAGCUGAUUUGACUGAAAACGGCAUGUUGGAUUCCUUUCCAUUGAGUUCGAAACAUUGAUCUUAUAAAAUUACUGGACAAACGA